rnacentral:rRNA from 1 species
CGCAGCCGCGGUAAUUCCAGCUCCAAUAGCGUAUAUUAAAGUUGUUGCAGUUAAAAAGCUCGUAGUUGAAUUUCGGGGUCAGUAGGCUGGUCGUGCCACCGGUACGUACUGGUCUCACUGAUUCCUCCUUCCUGAAGAACCGUAAUGCCAUUAAUUUGGUGUUGCGGGGAAACAGGACUGUUACUUUGAAAAAAUUAGAGUGUUUAAAGCAGGCUAACGCUUGAAUACAUUAGCAUGGAAUAAUGAAAUAGGACGAUCGAUCCUAUUUUGUUGGUUUCUAGGAUUGACGUAAUGAUUAAUAGGGAUAGUUGGGGGCAUUAGUAUUCAAUUGUCAGAGGUGAAAUUCUUGGAUUUAUUGAAGACUAACUACUGCGAAAGCAUUUGCCAAGGAUGUUUUCAUUAAUCAAGAACGAAAGUUAGGGGAUCGAAGACGAUCAGAUACCGUCGUAGUCUUAACCAUAAACUAUGCCGACUAGGGAUCGGAUGAUGUUAAUUUUAUAAUGACUCAUUCGGCGCCUUA